GACGAACGCUGGCGGCGUGCUUAACACAUGCAAGUCGAACGGUAAGGCCCUUCGGGGUACACGAGUGGCGAACGGGUGAGUAACACGUGGGUGAUCUGCCCUGCACUUCGGGAUAAGCCUGGGAAACUGGGUCUAAUACCGGAUAGGACCACUGCCUGCAUGGGUGGUGGUGGGAAGCUUUUGCGGUGUGGCGGAUGGGCCCGCGGCCUAGCAGCUUGUUGGUGGGGUGAUGGCCUACCAAGGCGACGACGGGUAGCCGGCCUGAGAGGGUGACCGGUCACACUGGGACUGAGAUACGGCCCAGACUCCUACGGGAGGCAGCAGUGGGGAAUAUUGCACAAGGGGCGCAAGCCUGAUGCAGCGACGCCGCGUGAGGGAUGACGGCCUUCGGGUUGUAAACCUCUUUCAGCACCGACGAAGCGCAAGUGACGGUAGGUGCAGAAGAAGGACCGGCCAACUACGUGCCAGCCGCCGCCGUAA
rnacentral:rRNA from 1 species